rnacentral:rRNA from 1 species
UAGGUUUAUGGUGGAUGCCUAAAGGAGCUGAGAGGCGAAGAAGGCCGUGGUAAGCUGCGAAAAGCUACGGGGAAGAGCAAACAUCUAGUGAUCCGUAGAUAGCCGAAUGGGGUAACCCGUUAGUAGUGAUACUAACAUUGCGAGUCUGAAUAAAAUAGGACUGCAAGGCGGAACUGAGUGGAGUGAACCAUCUAAGUAACUCAAGGAAAAGAAAUCAAUAGAGAUUCCGAAAGUAGUGGCGAGCGAAAUUGGAAGAGUCCAAACCCUAUAAGGGUGUUGUAGGGCUGUGCGGGCUUAAAGCCGACAAGUUAGGAGAAAACUAUAUUUAUAGCAGAAAGAUCUGGGAAGGUCUGACAGAGAGGGUGAAAUCCCCGUAAGCGAAAUGAAUAUGGACUUGUUUGUACAGUACCUGAGUACGGCGGGGCACGAGAAACCCUGUUGGAAACUGGGUCGACCACGAUCCAAGACUAAAUACUACUCAAGCUACCGAUAGUGAAAAAGUACCGUGAGGGAAAGGUGAAAAGAACCCUAGUGAAGGGAGUGAAAUAGAACCUGAAACCAUAAACUAACAAUAUGUUACAGCCCGAAAGGGUGGUAGCGUGCCUUUUGUAGAAUGAGCCUGCGAGUUACGAUAUGUAGCAAGGUUAAAGAAUAGAAGUUCUGGAGCCUAAGGGAAACCAAGUCUGAAUAGGGCGAUUUAAGUUAUAUGUCGUAGACCCGAAGCCGGAGUGAUCUAGUCAUGAGCAGGUUGAAGCAAGGGUAAAACCUUGUGGAGGACCGAACUAUAAUCUGUUAAAAAAGGUAUGGAUGACUUGUGACUAGGAGUGAAAGGCUAAUCAAACCCGGAAAUAGCUGGUUCUCCCCGAAAUGCCUUUAGGGACAGCCUUAUAGUUAAGAUUAUCGGAGGUAAAGCACUAGUUGGACUAGGGGGCUUCACCGCCUACCAAACCCAAUUAAACUCUGAAUGCCGAUAAUUAAUAUAUAGGAGUGAGACUGCGUGCGCUAAGGUUCGCAAGUCAAAAGGGAAACAGCCCAGAUCGUCAGCUAAGGUCCCGAAAUACUACUUGAGUGUGAAAUGAAGUGUGGAUACAAAGACAGCCAGGAGGUUGGCUUAGAAGCAGCCAUUCCUUAAAAGAGUGCGUAAUAGCUCACUGGUCGAGUAUACAUGCGCAGAUAAUGUAACGGGGCUAAGCAGUAUACCGAAGCUACGGGUCUUAUGCAGUAUAAGCAUAAGGCGGUAGGGGAGCAUUCCAUGGACUGAUGAAGGUGUACCUGAGAGGGGCACUGGAGGGGAUGGAAGAGAGAAUGCAGGUAUAAGUACACGAAAAGAAAGGUGAGAUUCCUUUCCGCCGAAAACCUAAGGUUUCCUGGGUAAAGGUCAUCUGCCCAGGGUUAGUCGGCCCCUAAGGCCAGGGCGAAAGCCGUAGUCGAUGGGAAAUCGGUUCAUAUUCCGAUACCUUUUAUAAUUUCGAUGGCAGGACGCAUGAGGUGAAACCCGGCCGGCUAACGGAUGCCGGUCAAAGUAAGCGAGCCGUUAUAAAGGAUGAUAGGCAAAUCCGUCGUCCAAGGUAAGCUGCGACAGCGAGUGAAACUACGGUGGAACGAAGCGGGCGUAAUCAAGGUGCCGGGAAAUACUGUCUAAGGUUAGGUUAUAAAAGACCGUACCGUAAACCGACACAGGUAGAUGGGAUGAGAAAUCUAAGGCGCUCGUGAGAACUCGCGUUAAGGAAUUCGGCAAAUUACGCACGUAACUUCGGAAGAAGUGCGACCUCCUAGUUAUGAAAAUAAUAGAAGGAGGUGUCACAAAGCAGGUCCAGGCGACUGUUUAACAAAAACACAGCCAUCUGCGAAUCAGUAAUGAGACGUAUAGGUGGUGACACCUGCCCGGUGCUGGAAGGUUAAGAGGAGAGGUUAGUAGUAAUACGAAGCUUUGAAUUGAAGCCCCAGUAAACGGCGGCCGUAACUAUAACGGUCCUAAGGUAGCGAAAUUCCUUGUCGGGUAAGUUCCGACCCGCACGAAUGGUGUAACGACUCUGGACACUGUCUCAACGCGAGACACGGUGAAAUUUAUAUAUCGGUAAAGAAGCCGAUUACCCAUAGUUAGACGGAAAGACCCCGUGAACCUUUACUGCAACUUACUAUUGGGACUUGGCGUAUCAUGUGUAGAAUAGGUGGGAAGCUAUGAUACCUCAUCGUUAGGUGGGGAGGAGCUGACAAGUGAAAUACCACCCUUGAUAAGUCAGGUUUCUAACUCCUGCCCGUGAAACCGGGAGUGAGGAAAGUGGUAGGCAGGCAGUUUGACUGGGGCGGUCGCCUCCUAAAAGAUAACGGAGGUGCACGAAGGUCUCCUCGCACUGGUUGGAAAUCAGUGUAUGAGUGUAAAGGCACAAGGAGGCUUAACUGCGAGAGCGACAACUCAAGCAGGUACGAAAGUAGGUCUUAAUGAUCUGGCGGUAGCGAGUGGAAGUGCCGUCACUUAACGGAUAAAAGGUACUCCGGGGAUAACAGGCUGAUAUU